UCAGGUGGAACUCCAGGUUGAGGAGUUACUCGGAAUGCUGCCAAUAUAUCAGUAUCCUUGGUUUGGUACUCAGGAGUAUAAUAAGUCAAUUUGUACUCUUUAACACCAGCUUUGAAUCCAACACUUGCUUUAGUCUCUGUUUGUGGUGACAUAAAUCCCUCCCUACAACUCAUGAAUUAAGAAUUCUCACAACAACAAGGUCUACUCGACAUGAAUUCUGUGUUAAUGAAACUUUUCACAGGAAUCUUUCACAAAAUUUCCAACUAAUACUAAUAUUAUCAAUUAAUCAGAAUGGUUGAUUAUUAGACCAUGGUAUUUGAUUUGCCAAAUAAAUCAUUAUUGUAUACUCUUUCAUAUAUAUAGCGCAACCCAAUUUUUAGUUUUUACCUUUUUUUUUUUUGAAAUGGAAAUACCUAGCUAACCUAAAUAAUAAGAACUUCCCCCUUGACAGUGGUAUAUGUUGUAUAUGUAAAUCCUAGAUGUGAAAAUAUAUGGAAUUCCUCUAUGAAUCUAUGAAAGGUAUAAAAAAGAAAGAAAAACGCAAAGAAAAGAAUAGGCUAGGCAUAAAUCGAUAUGCUGAAAUUUAAAUAAAAAAUAAAUAAGAAGAGGAGCCCAUUAGAUACAAAUAAUGAAUCGUAAUAGAAAUAGAAAAUAAAAUUCAGGUUCAAAUUCGAUAGAAUCGAUAAUAUGGAUGGGCUUGUCUAUAAUGAUAGACAAAUGAAAGAAUUUCUCAAGAUUCUGAUUCAUCCACUUGAGAUUUUUAAAUGAAAAUAGGUUGGGUGAGCUUCCAAACUAACUCAGUCUCAUUGAAUAAGUAAACAAUUGGAUUGGUUCAAUUGCAUGGUGCCAACGAAAUCGAGUGCUAAUUCCGAUUUUUUUGAAUUAACCGAUCGACGUGCUAGCGGACAUUUAUUUUGAAUUCGAUAAUUUUUGAAAAAACAUUUCGACAUAUUUAUUUUAUUAUUAUGAGAAUCAAUCCUACUACUUCUGGUUCUGGGGUUUCCACACUUGAAAAAAAAACUCAGGGCGUGUCGUCCAAAUCAUCGGUCCGGUACUAGAUGUAGCCUUUCCCCAGGGCAAGAUGCCAAAUAUUUAUAACGCUCUAGUAGUUCAAGGUCAAGAUAGUGUUGGUCAACCAAUUAAUGUGGCUUGUGAGGUAUAAUAAUUAUUAGGAAAUAAUUGAGUUAGGGCUGUAGCUAUGAGUGCUAUAGACGGUCUAACGUGAGGAAUGACAGUGAUUGACACAGGAGCUCCUAUAAGUGUUCCAGUCGGGGGAGCGACUCUAGGACGAAUUUUUAACAUGCUCGGAGAGCCUGUUAAUAAUUUAGGGCCUGUAGAUACUAGUACAACAUCUCCUAUUCAUAGAUCUGCGCCCGCCUUUAUACAAUUGGAUACAAAAUUAUCUAUUUUUGAAACAGGAAUUAAAGUAGUAGAUCUUUUAGCCCCCUAUCGCCGUGGAGGAAAAAUCGGACUAUUCGGGGGAGCUGGAGUGGGUAAAACAGUACUCAUUAUGGAAUUGAUUAACAAUAUUGCUAAAGCUCACGGGGGCGUAUCCGUAUUUGGCGGAGUGGGUGAACGUAUUGGGGAAGGAAAUGAUCUUUACAUGGAAAUGAAAGAAUCUGGAGUGAUUAAUAAAGAAAAUAUUGUAGAAUCAAAAGUGGCCCUAGUUUACCGUCAGAUGAAUGAACCGUCGGGAGCUCGUAUGAGAGUUGGUUUGACUGCCCUAACUAUGGCGGAAUAUUUUCGAGAUGUUAAUGAGCAAGACGUACUUCUAUUUAUUGACAAUAUUUUCCGUUUCGUCCAAGCAGGAUCUGAAGUAUCAACCUUAUUGGGUAGAAUGCCUUCCGCUGUGGGUUAUCAACCGACCCUAAGUAUCGAAAUGGGUUCUUUACAAGAAAGAAUUACUUCUACCAAAGACAGGUCCAUAACCUCUAUUCAAGCAGUUUAUGUACCCGCAGACGAUUUGACCGACCCUGCUCUUGCUACGACAUCUACACAUUUAGAUGCUACUACCGUACUAUCAAGAGGAUUGGCUGCCAAACGUAUUUAUCCAGCAGCAGAUCCUUUAGAUUCAACGUCAACCAUGCUUCAACCUUGAAUCGUUGGUGAGGAACAUUACGAAACUGCCCAAAGAGUUAAGCAAAGUUUACAACGUUACAAAGAGCUUCAG